UGGGGAAUUUUGGACAAUGGGCGAAAGCCUGAUCCAGCAAUGCCGCGUGUGUGAAGAAGGCCUUCGGGUUGUAAAGCACUUUUGUCCGGAAAGAAAUCCUUGGCUCUAAUACAGUCGGGGGAUGACGGUACCGGAAGAAUAAGCACCGGCUAACUACGUGCCAGCAGCCGCGGUAAUACGUAGGGUGCAAGCGUUAAUCGGAAUUACUGGGCGUAAAGCGUGCGCAGGCGGUUUGCUAAGACCGAUGUGAAAUCCCCGGGCUCAACCUGGGAACUGCAUUGGUGACUGGCAGGCUAGAGUAUGGCAGAGGGGGGUAGAAUUCCACGUGUAGCAGUGAAAUGCGUAGAGAUGUGGAGGAAUACCGAUGGCGAAGGCAGCCCCCUGGGCCAAUACUGACGCUCAUGCACGAAAGCGUGGGGAGCAAACAGGAUUAGAUACCUGUGNGCGCCACCCUAAAACGAUGUCAACUAGUUGUUGGGGAUUCAUUUCCUUAGUAACGUAGCUAACGCGUGAAGUUGACCGCCUGGGGAGUACGGUCGCAAGAUUAAAACUCAAAUGAAUUGACGGGGUCAUAGCUGUUUCCU
rnacentral:rRNA from 1 species